AUACGGAGGGGGCUAGCGUUGUUCGGAAUUACUGGGCGUAAAGGGCGUGUAGGCGGAUCGUUAAGUCAGGGGUGAAAGCCCGGGGCUCAACCCCGGAACUGCCCUUGAUACUGGCGAUCUAGAGUCCGGAAGAGGUGGGUGGAAUUCCCGGUGUAGAGGUGAAAUUCGUAGAUAUCGGGAGGAACACCAGUGGCGAAGGCGGCUCACUGGUCCGGCACUGACGCUGAGACGCGAAAGCGUGGGGAGCAAACAGGAUUAGAAACCCUAGUAGUCC
rnacentral:rRNA from 1 species